UUUCCGUAGGUGAACCUGCGGAAGGACCAUUCAUAAUAAAGUGUUUUAUGGCACUUUUUAAAAAUCCAUAUCCACCUUGUGUGCAAUGUUAGAUCUCGUCAAUCUUGGCGAGAUUUUUAUACAUCAACUCAUCCUUUAACUAAUUUGUCUGAAAAAUAUUAUGAAUACUUAAUUCAAAAUACAACUUUCAACAACGGAUCUCUUGGCUCUC
rnacentral:misc_RNA from 1 species